CAUGCAAGUCGAGCNGNGGUUAUUUAGAAGCUUGCUUCUAAAUNACCUAGCGGCGGACGGGUGAGUAACACGUAGGCAACCUGCCCACAAGACAGGGAUAACUACCGGAAACGGUAGCUAAUACCCGAUACAUCCUUUUCCUGCAUGGGAGAAGGAGGAAAGGCGGAGCAAUCUGUCACUUGUGGAUGGGCCUGCGGCGCAUUAGCUAGUUGGUGGGGUAANGGCCUACCAAGGCGACGAUGCGUAGCCGACCUGAGAGGGUGAUCGGCCACACUGGGACUGAGACACGGCCCAGACUCCUACGGGAGGCAGCAGUAGGGAAUCUUCCGCAAUGGGCGAAAGCCUGACGGAGCAACGCCGCGUGAGUGAUGAAGGUUUUCGGAUCGUAAAGCUCUGUUGCCAGGGAAGAACGUCUUGUAGAGUAACUGCUACAAGAGUGACGGUACCUNAGAAGAAAGCCCCGGCUNACUACGUGCCAGCAGCCGC
rnacentral:rRNA from 1 species